GACAGAGGGUGCAAACGUUGUUCGGAAUUACUGGGCGUAAAGCGCGUGUAGGCGGCUCCGCAAGUCGGAUGUGAAAGCCCUGGGCUCAACCUAGGAAGUGCAUUCGAUACUGCGGAGCUGGAGUCCUGGAGAGGAAGGCGGAAUUCUCGGUGUAGAGGUGAAAUUCGUAGAUAUCGAGAGGAACACCGGUGGCGAAGGCGGCCUUCUGGACAGUGACUGACGCUGAGACGCGAAAGCGUGGGGAGCAAACAGG
rnacentral:rRNA from 1 species